rnacentral:rRNA from 1 species
AGUGGCGGACGGGUGAUUAACGCGUGAGAAUCUGCCUUGGGGUCGGGGACAACCACUGGAAACGGUGGCUAAUACCGGAUAAGCCGAUUGGUGAAAGAUUUAUUGCCCGAAGAGGAGCUCGCGUCUGAUUAGCUAGUUGGUGAGGUAAGAGCUCACCAAGGCAGCGAUCAGUAGCUGGUCUGAGAGGACGAUCAGCCACACUGGGACUGAGACACGGCCCAGACUCCUACGGGAGGCAGCAGUGGGGAAUUUUCCGCAAUGGGCGAAAGCCUGACGGAGCAAGACCGCGUGAGGGAGGAAGGCUCUUGGGUUGUAAACCUCUUUUCUCAGGGAAGAAGCUCUGACGGUACCUGAGGAAUCAGCCUCGGCUAACUCCGUGCCAGCAGCCGCGGUAAUACGGAGGAGGCAAGCGUUAUCCGGAAUUAUUGGGCGUAAAGCGUCCGCAGGUGGCGAUUCAAGUCUGCUGUCAAAGCACGGGGCUUAACUCCGUAAAGGCAGUGGAAACUGAAUAGCUAGAGUGCCGUAGGGGUAGAGGGAAUUCCCGGUGUAGCGGUGAAAUGCGUAGAGAUCGGGAAGAACAUCGGUGGCGAAAGCGCUCUACUGGACGGCAACUGACACUCAGGGACGAAAGCUAGGGGAGCGAAUGGGAUUAGAUACCCC